UUUUUACUUUUAAAUAUAAUGGUGUAUAUACAUUCUUUCUAUUUAGUCUUAAUUUGGUAGUCAGGAAGUGAUAUAACUUAGCUGCUAUUUACAACACUAGAAAUUUAGUACUUUAAGUAAUUUCACCUCUAUGAUAACAUUUGUUACUUUAUUUUUAAUGAUUUUUUACAAUAGUUAUGACAGUAGGAUGGUUAUGGAAUUGGAAUUUAAACUCCCAACUAAUGAGCUUAGCUGCUUGGAGUAUUAAUUAUGUAGUUUUUACAUUCUGUUUUAAAACAAAAACUUAGAAAAGGUGCUGGCAUUCUGAGGCCUGCAAUUAGGCCACAUAGCAGAAGCUUGCUCCUUCCUAUCUGGGUGAAAUAUUUUAUUUUUGCACUUUGAGUCAUAUUCCCACCCCUGUAUAAGCUACAUAGGAGCCUGAAUGAAUUGGGUAGGAAAGGAAAUUAUGCGAACAAGUCUCAGCUAGUGCUGAAUGACCCCAAUUUGUGUCUGCUGUGAACAUUAUUUUUGUAUUUCUCACUUGAGAAAUGCUGCAAGGCAAUUCAACUUUUAUGCUUUUAAAUCUCACACCUCAGAAUCUGAUAUCUUAAAUUGCUGAUUCUGUUACAUGCUAGGAACAAAAUGCCAACAUUUCAUGUAAAGAAGUUGCAUAAUCAUGAAAAGUAAAGGAUGCUUCCUAUGCCAGUUAGAGUGGUUUGACCCUUCAGGUCAAAAGAUGUGUUACUGUUAUUUUUCUACACGAACAGACUGAAUUUAGCUAGGGAGGCACUGAUGUUGGCUUUUGGGAAAGGGUUCAAAAAACUCUAUGGCAACAUUAAUGUUAAAAUGUUAAGCUGAGUGCAGUGGUGCAAGGCUGUAGUCCCAGCUUCUGAGGAGGCUGAGGCAGGAGGAUUGCUUGAGGUCAGGAGUUAGAAGCUGGAGUGUGUUAUUAUAACGCCUAUGAAUAACUGCUGCAUUCCAGCCCUGGCAAUGUAGCAAGACCCAUUCUCUUAAAAACAUGGCUGGGUGCGAUGGCUCACGCCUGUAAUCCCAGCACUUUGGGAGGCCAAGGCAGAGGAUCGAUUGAGGUCAGGAGUUCGAGAUCAGCCUGGCCAAUAUGGUGAAACCUCAUCUCUACUAAAACUACAAAAAUUAUAGCUGGGCAUGGUGGCACGCACUUGUAAUCCCAGCUACUUGGGAGACUGAGGCACAAGAAACACUUGAACCCAGGAGGUGGAGUUUGCAGUGAGCUGAGAUCACUCCACUGCACUCCAGCCUAGGUGACAGAGCGAGACUCCAUCUCAAAAAAAAAAAAAA
rnacentral:lncRNA from 1 species